rnacentral:rRNA from 1 species
UACGUAGGGUGCGAGCGUUGUCCGGAAUUAUUGGGCGUAAAGAGCUCGUAGGCGGUCUGUCGCGUCGGUCGUGAAAACUUGGGGCUUAACCCUGAGCUUGCGGUCGAUACGGGCAUGACUGGAGUUCGGCAGGGGAGACUGGAAUUCCUGGUGUAGCGGUGAAAUGCGCAGAUAUCAGGAGGAACACCAACGGCGAAGGCAGCUCGCUGGGACGGUACUGACGCUGAGACGCGAAAGCGUGGGGAGCGAACAGG